CCAAAAGUGAAAAGGUAAAUGAAUGGUUGAUACACCAAAAACAGUGUUUUCUGCCGCCCAGAUCGUAUGACAUAUAUAUACAGAGUGUGUAUGGAAGUGCAUCUAAAAAUAUAACACACCAAAAAAAAAAUCACUUUUGAUAAGAUUAGAGAUUUGUUAAUGGUUGUUUGUCUCUGGAUGUCGGCCUCCCGCUUUUCGCACAGUCAGCUGGGAUUGGCUCCAGUCCCCCAUGACUCUUAAAGGAUAAGAUAAAAAAAGAUGAAGCAGAAAGAAAAGUGUUUAUGAAUUUGUGUUUGAUUCCAGAUUCCAUGGGUGACCACAGUGGAUGCAGCUCGAGCGGUGGGUUUGCGUCCUGGAGGCUGGUGGUGUUCACGCCAGCCAUCGCUAUUCUCUCCUCUCUCCUCUCCUUUAUUUUGGUUUACCACUUCUGUCAGAAAUCAGAUAAAGAGCCUCAGGUUCAGAGAAGACAAACCAAACAGAAGCAGGAUGAAGAGAUGUGUUUAACACAAGUCG